AUGCUCUUACCCUUCACCCAAGUACACCAUUUCAGCCUUUUCAACUGCUAACUCAUGGUCUUACAUCAACCAGAUUUCUACCCUUUCCACUCAACACAAAUUAUUUGAUCACUCACCACGUAUCACUCCGCAAGAAAGAAACUCAGAUUCAUAAGCCAAGUUAUACAAAAUAUACUUGAAGCUCAUCUCCUUCAACAAUUCAACGACAAAUGAACACCCCUCUUAUUCAACGUUUCAGCAGCAAACGAUCAGCCCUGUCAUUCAAGGUUGGCUGGUCGGUGCUGACGGGACGAGCUGAGGCUAGUGUUCAAAUUCUUAUUUAGACUUCCGAUGUAGCAAUAACUCUUAUUUGUUUUUUGUUUUCUCAACUUAAGACUUUCAUGUUAGAUUUAGAAUGACAUCUUUGAUUGAGCUUAAACACUUAACUCCUAGUUUUAUGCUAAUGAAUACUGGUUAUCAGAAGCAUGAAACAAAAUUUGUGAUCCAAAGGGGUCUAGCCCGACUUACCAUCCUAUUAUUCGGGUUUCAACAAGGUUUUUCCCUUGUUUAUUUCU